ACCAGGACUUCCUGUGUAGGAAGAGAGAUGAGAAACCCAUGGGUUGGAGGUCAGAGUAUGGCAAAAUCCUCCUUCCUCCUUGAUGGAACUGGCCUUUGGAGCAAGAAGCAUCAUCCAUCCAGUUUUAAAGGACAGGAAGGAGGAUGUGACAGGAAGCAGCUUGUAAGAGUGGAGCGAGCCCUGGACUAAGAAUGGAAGUUCCCAGGCUCUAUUCUCAGCAAUGUCUUAGUAACUGUGGGCCAGCGAUUUAUCCUUCCUGGAUGUCUGUGUCUAACUGGAAAUGGGGACAAAUUAUCUCCUGCAUGGUAGAUACAGCAUUCAAAUGUGGGAACACACAUGAAUGAAUUUCAGAAUAAGGCAAAGACCCUCACUGUGUGAUGUUAGAUAAGGUAGUUGAUGUGGUAGCAUGUGGUGUUAGGAAAGUUGUUAAGACUGGAACACUCUUCGUAGAGAGAAUUUUCCGGGACAACACAGCAGAAGCUAGUUGAAGGGUCUGUGAAGUCCCCUGAUGUAUGGAGCUGUGGGCGACAGGGUUGUUUGUCCUUUCCUAGAGAAAGAAAUAGGUUUUAGUGAGAGCUGUGAGGGGAUGUGGAGUCUGUGCUUGGGAAUCAGAUCUGCGGCCAGAAGGGGAAGACAGCUGCUGAAGUCCAGAGAGAAGAUGGACAAGGCUCCAGUGAUAUGAGGGGAAAAAGGCCUUUUUAAUUUGUUCCCAUGUCAUGAUGGUGGUUCUCCAGAUUAGAACCACAUUGCCAGGGCAAAAAACGUGAGAGCUAAAGAUGAAACACGAGGGCUUUCAGUGCAACACUGACUUGUACAUAGAUGUUCAUGUCUCAGUGCUCAUAUAUCUGACUGUGUUUGCAGUGGGUGAAGUGGGAAAUAUCUGAAUGGACACUACUGCAUUUGUUUGCAGAAAAUGAUGAAGUUGGAAAUGAAGAUGCUAAAGAUGAGAAAGUUGAAAAAGUCCAAGGACCACUUGCCUCCAGAAAAUCAAAAUGAUAAUGAGGAAGAGGACGGGAAACAGCCAGUGUCCCCCAGAAGCACCUUGUACUCAUUUGAGAAACAGCAAGUCUGCUUGGCUCUUGAUGGGGGAGGAGUGCUCCACUGUGAAUGUGAUAAACAUCCAAAUGAUGUCUCAGGCCCAGCAGGCAGCUGCUGGAGAUGGAAGAACUCGAUGUCUCAGAGGACGCACUGGAUGAAAUUUACUUGACUCCUUCAAUUGAAUAUGACCUAUGUGACUGCCACCAGGCUUACAGUAAGUAGCACCUUGUGCUUAUUGGAGGAACAGCUCGCCUGCUUUGCUAUGGAUGCAGUCUGUGAGUACUUCAUCCCAAAGGUCAUAAAGCUCUACUUGUCUCCCUUCCAGGCAGCCUGUUUAUUUUUUGUUUCCUGCAAUUUGUGCAGGCUAAGACAUGACAUCCUUGUACUUAGAUUGUCUUGAGUCUGGCUCUUGGAUCCAGUUUUAAACACAGACAUCCAAUGGGUGGAACUUUCCUCUUCUCUUGUCCUAGGUGACUCCGUUGUCACCAGGCACUUUCUCACAAGAGUGGGAUGUGGGUAUCAAGAUAGGCCUGAGAGGGGGAAUGGUGAGGGGCAAUUGCAAAUGUUCAGCCACCUGUAGCUCAGCUGAAGACAUUUGUAUGAAAGACCUCCUUCUUUAAGAUAAGACAUCUCUCUUUGAUGAAAGUAUGUUGCUAAUUGCAUUUCCUGGACAGUACCCUUCACUAUUCUCUGGUCAUCCAGUUGUGCUGGCAGUUUUGCCCAAUUAUUUUGGAGGUCUGUUUUCAUGAUUCCUAUGUCCCAGGCCAGAUUCUUAACUUCUUCUGAGGUGACUUCCCUCCAGCUGAAGCAGGCUAGUGUUCCAUCCUGCCUGCAUGGCCACGGCUUUCAUUCUCUGUGGAGCACCAGUGAUUUUUUUUCCAUGUGUGGGUUUAUAAUUUCAAUCAUGUAUCUGGUCUCAGUGUCAUAGUGUCACGUAAACCAUCACCAAUGAGUGUCCCUGAUGAGGUGCUGGCCUAACUGAUGAGCAAAGCCCAUCCUGUGGUUGGAACCAUGUGGUUCCAUCCCCAUGAUCUCCAGAAGAUCCUUCCUGUUGAGUGGGCACCCUAUGGGGCAGCAGCUUCACAGGGUGUGUGGAGAAAAAAUCCAAUUUUCAUUUCUUCUCACUCAUUCGAUUUUUUGGAGUUCUGAGAGUUGCAUGUGGAUUUUUGAGCAUUUUAUCCAUCAAAUCAUCUUGCGGUAGGAGCAAGUAACUCUGUCAUGCUCUCCAAUAUAUCUC
rnacentral:lncRNA from 1 species